rnacentral:rRNA from 1 species
CACGUAGGGGCCAAGCGUUGUCCGGAUUUAUUGGGCGUAAAGAGCUCGUAGGCGGCUCGGUAAGUCAGGUGUGAAACCUCCAGGCUCAACCUGGAGACGCCACCUGAUACUGCCAUGACUCGAGUCCGGUAGAGGAGUGUGGAAUUCCCGGUGUAGCGGUGAAAUGCGCAGAUAUCGGGAGGAACACCCGUAGCGAAGGCGGGUCUCUGGGCAGUAACUGACGCUGAGGAGCGAAAGCGUGGGGAGCGAACAGG